rnacentral:tRNA from 1 species
UAUAUUUUAGUAUAAGGUGUACGAAAGUUUUUGAAAUUUUAAGUAAUAGUUAAAUUCUAUUAAAUGUAA